AAUACACUUACGUAAAUCUAACUUAACAGUAUUGAGUUCAAACUAAGUAACAACAUUUCUUAAAAGUUACUUAAAGCAGUUGUGUGGAACCACUUGACAUAACUUUUUUAAGUAAAUCUAAUGUUUUAUUUUUUUGAGUGCAGCAGAGUCAACUUUAAAAAUAAACAUGUGGUUCCUCUUUGUUCCACCGUACAGUCAGAUCAGCCCAGAGAACAGGAAUGUUCUCAUUAUGCUGCUGUCAGAUUCAGCUCUGCCGGAGCAUCUGGUGUCACUCCAGCAGACACAGACUUACAGACUUACUCUUCUGUGAAACUUUGAGAGAGAUACUGUGUAUUGGAUAUGUGUGCCACAUAUCCAGUGGUGGCUGAUGAUGAAACAAGUCCUCAGCAAGGAACAAGUGCCUGUUAAUGAAUGCAGCACAUAAACCUACAUAACUGAAUGCAGCAGGGUGUUACGUGUGUGUUUAUCAGUUCGCCAUCUUAACUAUCUCUAGACGUCAUUUUCCUUCUCUCUUUUUUGACACCACCCUCUACUGGUGCAGUUUGGUAUCUAACAUUACAGGACACAGCACAGUUGUUGACAGCUGUUACAAUGAAUGAUUUAUUGUGGGAUGCCCUUAUUUUAUAACCCUAAAAAAAUAUUUCCUAUGUAUGAAAUACAAAGGGAAUACAGUGACUCAGUAUCUUGAACUGAGUUUGAGCAGUUUCAUCAUAACAAUGACUGCUGUAGAUGUCUGAAUGCACUGAUCUGAUUGUCUGAUUAAAUAUUAAAUACCUAAUAAAUUGGCUGGUGAGUGUUCCAGUGCUGUUGUGAUGUAUUAUACAGUAGUUCGUGCUACGUUCUCAUUUUGUAUGUUUUUGGAUCGUCUGUUUUCUGAUGAGUGUAGCUUCACAUGUGUCACAGUCCUGGGUCAGUCACCCAGUGUUUUGACUUUUGUAAUAUUAUUGAUCUUUGUUUUCAUCAUGGUUUUGACUGCUAGUGUUUUGGUUUCUGUUUUGUACUUUGAGCUCUCCAGUUUUUCUUGCUUUACGAUUCCUAGUUCUUGGGUUUUGGUUCCUGUGCUCCUCAUGUCACCCUCGGUCCUGUACUCCGUGUCCCCUCUGUGUAGCAUCAAGUCCUUGCCCCUGUGCUGGUUGUAUUUCCUGUUUUAUUUUGAAGGUCCAUGUGUCAUGUGAAUGUAUUUUGUUUUGCUUCCCCCCUCUCUCGUCAUGUUGAAUUAGGUUCAGCUGUGUCUCACUCCUGUGUGCCAUUUCCUUAUUUCCUUAUUUAGUGUGUGUUAUCUGUUGCUCUUCGUUGGUCUGUCUGCCUACCAUUUAACUGUGUUACUGCUGCUCUCAGUCCCCCCACGGUUCCAGGUUUGGCUAGUUCUGGUUUCAGAUUCAGAGACGUCUGCUGUGAUGGAGCAGGACUCAUUCACUGAUCUCUGCUCACCUUCUUCUUGGUUUCCCCAAAACACAGUGUGUUUACAGACCACUACGGCUGAAGCUGGAGAGUCUUCUUCAUCACAGAAGUUUGUUUCCAUCAUAAAUGCAGAAAACAGUUUUAUCACCAACGCCUCCACAAUUUAACACAACUGCACGCAGCUCAAAGAGCCACAACACAGAGCAGAUGAAAUGAAAAUAAAAUGUUGCACACAUUAAAGUGAGAAAUGAGAGAACAGCUACAGGUUGUAUUUCCAUGUAAACAUGUUACACACUGAAUGAACAAAAAAAUGCAUCUAGGUCCUUUAGCUAAUAUAACAUAAACACACAUCAUGAUUGUGUAUCGCUCUCACCUCAAACACAACUAAACAGGCUUGUGUUAUUCUCUGCUUCUCUUGCUGUUAUCCAGCUGUCAUGACUUUAGGCUGACUGAUUUUCGUACCGCUCGGGUAAGAAUUCAAGCCGCUGCUGCCAUCUACUGGCGACACGCAAUAUUGCAUCACCAGUUUUUAAGCUGUGUCCAGUUCAGUGAGAACUCUUGAUUUUUCUUUUCUUUUGUGAACUGCAGUCGCCAUGUUGUCUCAGUG
ensembl:lncRNA